CUGAAGAGCCUUCUACCUCUGGCAUUUAAAGCGUGCUGGAGCGAGGGGAAAGGCUCUUAUAGGGCCACGAGGGGCAGAGGUGGGGGGUUCCUAAGCCUGGGAGCAGCAAGGCCUUUUGAGGUGUGGGUUCUGCCUGAGCACAGCAUCAGGGAUCUGUGAGCAUGAUCUGGAGGACCCUGGGUGGGAUGGGGAAGCGUUUAUCCAAGGGGCCGCCGACUUUCCUGCCCUCAGCCCCCUCUUGCUGCCUCUGCCUAUCUGUCCUGUUCCUGGGGGUCAAGUGUCUCAGAGGAUCUUGGAGAUCUGGUGACCGCCCCCUCGCACUGAAGCGGCUAAAGGCAGACCAUGGACUAGACCCGCCGGAGGGGCUGGCACUGCCCCCACCCCCUCUGCCAGCCGACGCCACUUGCUAAAAACAGCCGGGCCCGGGGCCUUUCAGGCCACCCCUCCAGGCCCGGGCAGGUAUUAGAGGCCGAAGCUGGGCCAGGCGAGCUGGACACCAUGCUGUUCACAGAGACCGCCCACUUCGUGGUGAAUUUCCUUCUGUCCCGGCAGCCCCGGGCCACGACCCCGCAUCGCCUGGACCAGGUGUUGUGUUUCUGGGGCUGCCGAGGCCCGGUCCUGCCGGCGCCCGCCUCCCGCCGCAGCCUGGCCGACCACUGGCUGAGCCCGCAGCGCCGCGCCGCCGGGCGCCGCCUGCUGCUGGCCGGCGCGCAACCUGCUGCCCCCACCGGGGGCCACCAGCCGGGCCAGCCGCUGCGGAGCGCGCCCGCGCCUCCCGUGGAAGCACCAGUGGCAGAAUAUUAACUACCAACUCCUGGGCAAGAGGAAGAGCCAUCUGGUUCCCCUGCGCCCGUGAGAGCGGUGAGGGGCGGGGCCAGGAGAGGGCGCGACCCCCGGAGGGGCGGGUCCAGAGGCGGGGCCUAGCGGAGGUGUGGGGGAAGGGCGAGGCCUGAGCGCGACGUCGGCGGCGGCUUUGCUUGCUCCAGGGCGCGGAGGGCUUGAGCCGAUGGGAGAGGCCCCGCGGGCGAGGCGUGGGUCUGUGCGGGGUUAUUCGUCCCUGCCCUUCUCUGACGCCUGCAAGUAUUUUUCAAAAGAAUGUGAGGAAACAGGCUCCAGGUUCAUCACAUGGUGGUCCCAAGGCCGACUUGUGCAAGCCAGGAUGACAGGAGGACGGCGUGGGAGCACUGCUCAAUCCCGUAGCCCUUCCCUGUGGCUGAAGAUGAUCCACCUUCGCCCUGUCUCCUGAGGUCUCCGUGUUUCUGCCCUUCACGGCCCAAAUAAAGCAGCUUUUGCCUCUCUCUGGCCCUCUCCACUUUGCAGGUCAACAGAUAUUUACUGAGC
rnacentral:lncRNA from 1 species